GGAAAGGUGGCCGAGUGGCUGAAGGCGUGCGCUUGGAAAGCGUAUAAAGGUUAACCCCUUUCGAGAGUUCGAAUCUCUCCCUUUCCGCCA
rnacentral:tRNA from 1 species